rnacentral:rRNA from 1 species
GAUGAACGCUAGCGGCAGGCUUAAUACAUGCAAGUCGAGGGGCAGCAUGACUGUAGCAAUACAGUUGAUGGCGACCGGCAAACGGGUGCGGAACACGUACAGAACCUUCCUUCGAGCGGGGAAUAGCCCAGAGAAAUUUGGAUUAAUACCCCAUAGUAUAUUUGAAAGGCAUCUUUUAAAUAUUAAAGAUUUAUCACUUGAAGAUGGCUGUGCGGCUGAUUAGGUAGUUGGCGGGGUAACGGCCCACCAGGCCUGCGAUCAGUAACUGGUGUGAGAGCACGACCAGUCACACGGGCACUGAGACACGGGCCCGACUCCUACGGGAGGCAGCAGUAAGGAAUAUUGGUCAAUGGACGAAAGUCUGAACCAGCCAUGCCGCGUGGAGGAUGAAGGUCCUCUGGAUUGUAAACUUCUUUUAUAUGGGACGAAAAAAGACUUUUCUAAGUCGUCUGACGGUACCAUAUGAAUAAGCACCGGCUAACUCCGUGCCAGCCGCCGCAGUAA